GGCUCAGAACGAACGCUGGCGGCGUGCCUAACACAUGCAAGUCGAACGGGAUUAGGGGCUUGCUCCUAAUCUAGUGGCGCACGGGUGAGUAACGCGUAGAUAAUCUGCCUGAUGAUCUGGGAUAACACUUCGAAAGGGGUGCUAAUACCGGAUAAGCCCACGGGGUCUUUGGACUCUGCGGGAAAAGGGGGGGACCUUCGGGCCUUCUGUCAUCAGAUGAGUCUGCGUACCAUUAGCUAGUUGGUAGGGUAAUGGCCUACCAAGGCUACGAUGGUUAGCUGGUUUGAGAGAAUGAUCAGCCACACUGGAACUGAGACACGGUCCAGACUCCUACGGGAGGCAGCAGUGGGGAAUUUUGCGCAAUGGGCGAAAGCCUGACGCAGCAACGCCGCGUGAGUGAUGAAGGCUUUCGGGUCGUAAAGCUCUGUCGAGGGGAAAGAAGUGUAUUGUGGCUAAUAUCCACGAUACUUGACGGUACCCCUAAAGGAAGCACCGGCUAACUCCGUGCCAGCAGCCGCGGUAAUACGGGGGGUGCAAGCGUUGUUCGGAAUUAUUGGGCGUAAAGAGCGUGUAGGCGGUUUGUUAAGUCUGAUGUGAAAGCCCUGGGCUCAACCCAGGAAGUGCAUUGGAAACUGGCAGACUUGAAUACGGGAGAGGGCAGUGGAAUUCCUAGUGUAGGAGUGAAAUCCGUAGAUAUUAGGAGGAACACCGGUGGCGAAGGUGGCUACCUGGACCGAUAUUGACGCUGAGACGCGAAAGCGUGGGUAGCAAACAGGAUUAGAUACCCUGGUAGUCCACGCCGUAAACGAUGAGAACUAGGUGUUGCGGGUAUUGACCCCUGCAGUGCCGCAGCUAACGCAUUAAGUUCUCCGCCUGGGAAGUACGGUCGUAAGACUAA
rnacentral:rRNA from 1 species